GCUGGGCAUGGUGGCGCGUGCCUGUAAUCCCAGCUACUCAGGAGGCUGAGGCAGGAGAAUUGCCUGAACCCAGGAAGCGGAGGUUGCGGUGAGCCAAGAUUUCGCGCCAUUGCACUCCAGCCUGGGUAAUAAGAGCAAGACUCUGCCUCAA
rnacentral:SRP_RNA from 1 species